rnacentral:ncRNA from 2 species
AUGUUAUCAGGAAAGGCCGAGGGAAUAGACCCUAUGACGCCUUAGCAACCCUUCGCUUGCCGAAGAAGGUGCUACAUUCUACCACUAUGGGAUAGAUAACGU